UACGGGGGGGGCAAGCGUUGUUCGGAAUUACUGGGCGUAAAGGGCUCGUAGGUGGCCAACUCAGUCAGACGUGAAAUCCCUCGGCUUAACCGGGGAACUGCGUCUGAUACUGGAUGGCUUGAGGUUGGGAGAGGGAUGCGGAAUUCCAGGUGUAGCGGUGAAAUGCGUAGAUAUCUGGAGGAAUACCGGUGGCGAAGGCGGCAUCCUGGACCGACAUUGACGCUGAGGAGCGAAAGCUAGGGGAGCAAACGGG
rnacentral:rRNA from 1 species